CGGGGAAUAUUGGACAAUGGGCGCAAGCCUGAUCCAGCCAUGCCGCGUGAGUGAUGAAGGCCCUAGGGUUGUAAAGCUCUUUCACCGGUGAAGAUAAUGACGGUAACCGGAGAAGAAGCCCCGGCUAACUUCGUGCCAGCAGCCGCGGUAAUACGAAGGGGGCUAGCGUUGUUCGGAUUUACUGGGCGUAAAGCGCACGUAGGCGGACUUUUAAGUCAGGGGUGAAAUCCCGGGGCUCAACCCCGGAACUGCCUUUGAUACUGGAAGUCUUGAGUAUGGUAGAGGUGAGUGGAAUUCCGAGUGUAGAGGUGAAAUUCGUAGAUAUUCGGAGGAACACCAGUGGCGAAGGCGGCUCACUGGACCAUUACUGACGCUGAGGUGCGAAAGCGUGGGGAGCAAACAGG
rnacentral:rRNA from 1 species